GGGGGGGUGUAGUCUGUAUAGACAGGUGGUCUUUCUAAACAGGAUUGGCCGAAGCAAGUUUGAUUAUAUUUUAUUUACACAAGUGUACAAAUUGAUGGUCUAGGAAACCCUUGCGUUUAGUUCUCCAACAAGAAUUCAAAUACAAAACAAUAAAUUUAUUCUCAAAAGGGGCACAUGCCUACCAUUUUUAGUGUAACUAUACUUUGGCAUGGUGCAAAAUGCCCCUGUGUCCAUUCCUGGAGCCAUCUUUGAUCUGUCUCCAACUAGAGAGGACACUUUUUCCGCAACUUUUUAUAGGAGGAAUUAUUGUUGACUUGGUAUAUUUUUAAAGCUAGUCAGUUCAACACCAUAUAUCUGGGUGCAGUGAGAAACUGUGCAAUUUAUAUUCUGUUAGAUGCAUGCAAAAUCUUGUACAUUUCUUUUAUCCACUAAAUAAUCCAUUUGAAGCUCCUUUCAUGUUUUCUUGCCGUUGGUGGAAAUCCCAAAAUUGUCUAAACCACUUUUUUUUUUUUUACUAAGUCAUUGUGCAGUUAAGUGUACAGUUGUCUUCUGUGUUACUAUGGAGAAACAUGAUUAGGAAGACUAUCCAAGGGAGACACCAAAAGCGGUCUUUAUAGGCAGGUAGAUCUUUCUUUACAGGUAGUCACAAAAGUAGGUUUGAUUGAGUUUGCAUGUACAUCUAUAUGUAGAUAACAUGAAGCAAGUUGUUAAAGAUCAUGAAGCUAGAACUAAAGAUUUGCUUGCUAUACUUUGUCAUCCUUCAUUCAUAUACAAGAGUUGCCCAUACCAGAUAAUCUCCAUUAGUAAGCUCAUUUAUCUUACCUUUAUGUUUCAAGACAUUAUUUCAGUUAGGACUGCCAUUGUGUUUAUUUUUUUGUAAGGAUUCCCAAGUCACCCUGGUACAUCUAUGACUUGCUUAAUCAUGAAUAUCUCUGACAUGCUAGUGAUUAGGAGAAAUGAAGUUUUAGUGACAACACUGAGAUAAAAAAUGAUGUACAAGGCUACAACCAUUUGAAAUUCUUUGUCUGUUUCAUAGGGACCCUUAUAUGGUCAUUUUAAGUGUGAUUGAAUUGUUCUUAUUUCAGUUUGAAUGAUCAGAGCAUACAUAAAUCAUCAUUUGAGCUUUAGAUCAUGGAGCUGAAACCUGCAAAAAGUACAGAGUUAUGACCUUGACUAAUUUCGUAAUUCUUUAGAAUAUUCUGAAGUUAAGUCUUAUAAAUAUAUUUCUAUAUUGAUUUGCAGAGUCUUUGUUCAUUUAGUUUCUUUGGUAGCUAUCUGUAUGAGGUGCACAUGUUUCAAGUAUUAUUCAAGUGUAUAUUUGAUUUAUAUUUAUGGUAGAGGUACAGUUGUACUUUUAAUUUGUAUGUUGAAGAUAACCAGCAAGGGAUAGUACUAUAUUUCUUAAAUAAGUCACUUAGUGAUGAAAUGGUCAAUUCUUUAUGGGUGUUAUUCCAGGAAAACAAAGCUGAUCUAUUUCAAAGUAAGAUAUUGUGUCUUGAGAGUCCAAAAGGUGCUAUGUUCAAACAUAUGAAAGAUAAUGCCUUCUGGCUCUCAACAGAUGAUAUCUCUUGUACUUUUGUUAAGCAUAUCUUAUUUUGCUGCAAAUAAUCUUACAUCAGUAAUUUUCUUUCCUGCAUGUAUAUUUCUGCAUUAUUUUGGGGAACUAUUUAAAUGGGAGAAUUCAGACCAUGUGGUAAUCAGCGAUUCCUCAUUUAAAGUUACAUAGCUAAAUAUGACUCCUUUAUAUGAAUACUUUAUGGAAGAUUCAAUGAGCAUCUGCAGUAUAAUUUCAUUAGUUUCUUUGUUGGCUUCAAGCAUUUUAAUUAUCCAGCAUAUAGCCACAAAUCCAUGUUCAUAAGAAAGAAAAAUAAAAUCAAUGCCUGUUCAUGUAAAUGAAACUACAUUGGUUUAAUAUGUAGAACCUACAUUGUAUGUUGAUGUGCAAGAUGACAUCAUAGAGGGAAAAAAAUAGAGACCGAUUUAUAUGCAUCUGUACAUGGGUUUACUUCAGUAAAUAAAAACAAAUAAGGAUGAACUUACCCAUCCCCUUUUCAGUA
rnacentral:lncRNA from 1 species